rnacentral:rRNA from 1 species
AUUGAACGCUGGCGGCAUGCUUUACACAUGCAAGUCGAACGGUAACAGGCCGCAAGGUGCUGACGAGUGGCGAACGGGUGAGUAAUGCAUCGGAACGUGCCCAGUCGUGGGGGAUAACUACUCGAAAGAGUAGCUAAUACCGCAUACGAUCUAUGGAUGAAAGCGGGGGACCGUAAGGCCUCGCGCGAUUGGAGCGGCCGAUGUCAGAUUAGGUGGUUAGUGGGGUAAAGGCUCACCAAGCCAACGAUCUGUAGCUGGUCUGAGAGGACGACCAGCCACACGGGAACUGACACAGGGCCAAAACCCCUAGGGGGGGAGGAGGGGGGAAAUUUUGGAAAGGGGGGGAAGGCCUAACCCGGAAAGGCGGGGGGGAGAAAAAAGGCCUGCGGGUUGAAAACUGGUUUUGUAGGGAAGGAAAAGGCUCUGGUUAAUACCCGGGGGAAAGGACGGAACGGAAAAAAAAAGCACCGGCUAACAACGG